rnacentral:rRNA from 1 species
GACGAACGCUGGCGGCGUGCUUAACACAUGCAAGUCGAACGGAAAGGCCCUGCUUUUGUGGGGUGCUCGAGUGGCGAACGGGUGAGUAACACGUGAGUAACCUGCCCUUGACUUUGGGAUAACUUCAGGAAACUGGGGCUAAUACCGGAUAGGAGCUCCUGCUGCAUGGUGGGGGUUGGAAAGUUUCGGCGGUUGGGGAUGGACUCGCGGCUUAUCAGCUUGUUGGUGGGGUAGUGGCUUACCAAGGCUUUGACGGGUAGCCGGCCUGAGAGGGUGACCGGACACAAUGGGACUGAGAUAGGGCCCAGACUCCUACGGGAGGCAGCAGUGGGGAAUAUUGCACAAUGGGCGGAAGCCUGAUGCAGCAACGCCGCGUGCGGGAUGACGGCCUUCGGGUUGUAAACCGAUUUCGCCUGUGACGAAGCGUGAGUGACGGUAAUGGGUAAAGAAGCACCGGCUAACUACGUG